rnacentral:rRNA from 1 species
UACGUAGGGGGCUAGCGUUGUCCGGAUUUAUUGGGCGUAAAGAGCGUAUAGGCGGCCAGGUAGGUCUGCUGUGAAAACUCGAGGCUUAACCUCGAGAUGUCGGCGGAAACCAUCUGGCUAGAGUCCGGAAGAGGAGAGUGGAAUUCCUGGUGUAGCGGUGAAAUGCGCAGAUAUCAGGAAGAACACCCGUGGCGAAGGCGGCUCUCUGGGACGGUACUGACGCUGAGACGCGAAAGCGUGGGGAGCGAACAGG